rnacentral:rRNA from 1 species
UACGGAGGGUGCAAGCGUUAUCCGGAUUCACUGGGUUUAAGGGGUGCGUAGGUGGGUUGAUAAGUCAGUGGUGAAAUCCCCGAGCUUAACUUGGGAACUGCCAUUGAUACUAUUGAUCUUGAAUACCGUGGAGGUCAGCGGAAUAUGUCAUGUAGCGGUGAAAUGCUUAGAUAUGACAUAGAACACCAAUUGCGAAGGCAGCUGGCUACGCGAAUAUUGACACUGAUGCACGAAAGCGUGGGGAUCAAACAGG